rnacentral:rRNA from 1 species
GAUGAACGCUGGCGGCGUGCCUAAUACAUGCAAGUCGAGCGAACAGACGAGGAGCUUGCUCCUCUGACGUUAGCGGCGGACGGGUGAGUAACACGUGGAUAACCUACCUAUAAGACUGGGAUAACUUCGGGAAACCGGAGCUAAUACCGGAUAACAUGUUGAACCGCAUGGUUCAACAGUGAAAGACGGUCUUGCUGUCACUUCUAGAUGGAUCCGCGCCGCAUUAGCUAGUUGGUAAGGUAAAGGCUUACCAAGGCAACGAUGCGUAGCCGACCUGAGAGGGUGAUCGGCCACACGGGAACUGAGACACGGUCCAGACUCCUACGGGAGGCAGCAGUAGGGAAUCUGCCGCAAGGGGCGAAAGCCGGACGGAGCAACGCCGCGUGAGUGAAGAAGGUCUUCGGAGCGUAAAACUCUGUUAUUAGGGAAGAACAAAUGUGUAAGUAACUAUGCACGUCUUGACGGUACCUAAUCAGAAAGCCACGGCUAACUACG